CCUACGGGUGGCAGCAGUGAGGAAUAUUGGUCAAUGGACGCAAGUCUGAACCAGCCAUGCCGCGUGCAGGAAGACGGCUCUAUGAGUUGUAAACUGCUUUUGUACGAGGGUAAACGCAGAUACGCGUAUCUGUCUGAAAGUAUCGUACGAAUAAGGAUCGGCUAACUCCGUGCCAGCAGCCGCGGUAAUACGGAGGAUUCAAGCGUUAUCCGGAUGUAUUGGGUUUAAAGGGUGCGUAGGCGGUCGGAUAAGUUAGAGGUGAAAUCCCGGGGCUCAACUUCGGAAUUGCCUCUGAUACUGUUCGACUAGAGAGUAGUUGCGGUAGGUGGAAUGUAUGGUGUAGCGGUGAAAUGCUUAGAGAUCAUACAGAACACCGAUUGCGAAGGCAGGUUACCAAGCUACUUCUGACGUUGAGGCACGAAAGCGUGGGGAGCAAACAGGAUUAGAUACCCCUGUAGUC
rnacentral:rRNA from 1 species